rnacentral:lncRNA from 1 species
CAGCUGGUUCCAUUAAUAAAGUACACAAAAAUUGGCGGCCAAAUGAAUAUUUGAAUUUUAAAAUGUGCUCACUUUGGAGCCAAUUUGUUAAACAACUCAGCCUAUAAAUAUGAGAUUAUUUCACAAUACAUUUUCAUAACGCAGACUUUAUCUCUCUAUAUUUGUUGUAAUUUCUCUCUCUAUUCUUAAUUUUCUUAGUUGUUCCAAAUCUUUUUAUGUUCUAUUUUUAUGGGUUUAUGUUCUCAUGCUGCACUUUCAUUUUAAUUUCGUUUAGUUUUAAUGGCGAUUUACGGUCUCAACAAUAUUUAUUUCUAUUUGAUGCAUAAACUCUAAAUCUGGAAUAUAAAUAGCUAAUAUUUCUGAAUUUUAUCUGCAGAUGAAGGCUUGAAUCUGGAGCAUGGGAACCUCUCGAAUUCUGCAAAAGCAACAAAUAAAUGGUUUGUGAAUAUUCCAGAUUUAUAGGAAAAAUUGAUAAAAGUAACUAAUAUUUAUUUAUAAAUUUUCUCAACAGAUCAAUGGAGCACGGAAGAUCUGCAAAAGCAUCAAUCUUUCAAUGGAGCAUGGAAGAUCUACAAAAGCCACAAAAAAAUUAUUUUAGUGUAUAUUCAAGAUUGGAGCAUGGAAGAUCUACAAAAGUCCACAAAAAAAUUGUUUUAGUGUAUAUUCAAGAUUUACAGCAAGUAGGUAUAAAGAAGAAGAAACGGUAUAUUCAAGAUUUACAGCAAGUAGGCAUCAAGAAGAAGAAUUACAUAUCAUCCCUUAAAGGGUUUCCUCAUGUUAAUUUUUCAGUAAAAAAAUAAAGCAAUACAUUAUAAUCACAUGCAAAUACAUAUAUACAUUUCGAUAUUUCGAUAGGUUUCAAAUCCAAUAAUUUAUUGUAUAUUAUCUUUCAUUUUCAUUAGUUUUUCAUUUAUAUAAUAUUGAAAUAGUUUCAUUAUGUAUAUUUAUUUUCCUUUUAGCAUGCGUUCCUAUCUGUGCCAUAACUUUUCAUUUACUGCUUUUGCUUUCCAUCUAAAGCCAGACUCAUCAGAAUUGUGAAAAUAGUGUCAAAUAGCAAGUUAGAG